GUGAAUUUAGUUUAAAAGAAAAAACAUCUAACUUGCAAUUAGAAAACCUAGGUUUAAACCCUAAAAUACACA
rnacentral:tRNA from 1 species